rnacentral:rRNA from 1 species
UACGGGGGGGGCAAGCGUUGUUCGGAAUUACUGGGCGUAAAGGGCUCGUAGGUGGCCAACUAAGUCAGACGUGAAAUCCCUCGGCUUAACCGGGGAACUGCGUCUGAUACUGGAUGGCUUGAGUUUGGGAGAGGGAUGCGGAAUUCCAGGUGUAGCGGUGAAAUGCGUAGAUAUCUGGAGGAACACCGGUGGCGAAGGCGGUUCUCUGGGAAUGUUCUGACGCUGAGGAGCGAAAGUGUGGGGAGCGAACAGG